CCCGGACUGCACAGCCCUAGCACUACAGGUGGGUGUGGGUGCGGGAUUUAUGCGCCAACAGAGAGGGCGAGCCUUACGAGCGAAGGUUCAGGGAAGAUGCAGCACUGGACUAGCGGGACUGAAGGCUGCGGUCUGAGAGCCCCGGGGAGGUGAAGAGGAGCCCGAGAGGAGCCCAGAGCCGGGCCACCUUUCGGGGGGUCUCAGUCCAUACCGGAAAGUGAGAUUUUGCCCCCAGAUUUGGACUCACUACUUCAGAAGUGGAGCCCAAUUGUGCAGCUACAUUGUGCUGAAGCACGGUGCUGAGUGCAACAAUCUCACUUCUUGCCACGCUAGACAUCGAGGGUUCUACUUUCCGUGGCCAAAGGCCAGAAGAUUUGAUUCAUUACUCAAAGAUUUAAGUGAUCCUCAAAGUAUGGCUCAUGGACAAUAUGACAUGCCAACUCCCAUCCAUCCACAAAAAAAACUUCAGAUUCAUUUUUAUCAUAUAACAGAAAGGAAAUCAAAAAGGGAAAUCAGCCUGGUCCUUCACCACCAACAGCUGCAGCAGCUCUGCUCUGGGGAUAUAAAUGAUCUGACACUACCAAGAAGCUCCAAGGCCUGUGAAUGACAAACAAGAGGAAAGGGUGAGGUACUCUACUCACUUGGCUUUUAGGACUUCCCCACAUCCAUGCCACACAGAGUCUUUGUCCAGCUGGAGCUCACGAAGGACACGGCUGGGUUUGUAGGCUGCAUUGAUAAGUAAAGUGAGGACCUGCAGAAAUGUGGGUUCAAGAGGAAAGAGAAAAAGAAGACCAUUAGACUUUUAACACACUUGCUAGCCUUAAGACUUACAAGAUCAUUUUGGAAAUUAUUUACAGUUAUAUUAAGAAUGUUAACAAAAUAAUAAAAGCAAAAAUAUAUCAGUUACAAAUUAAGAGAAAUUAGAUUACUUAAACCAUUCAGGAAAAAAACAAGCACCACAAAUUGGAAAGUACUCUAGCAUGUGCUUCCAAAUGUUUUCGCAUGGUGGCGCACAGACAACUGUAUUUAUUUGGGACUGGGGAGGAAAGGGUUUACUUCACUUACAGGUUACAGUCUUUUAUUAGGAACCUAGUGGCAAAAACUGAAGCAGAGGCCAUGGAGGAACACUGCUUACUGGCUUGGUUCUUGUGGCUUGCACAGCCCGAUUUCUUACACAAUGCAGGACCACCUGCCCAGAGGUAGCACUGCCCACAGCGCACUAGGCCCUCCCACAUCAAUCAUUAAUCAAUAAAAUGCCCUAGAGACUUUCUGACAGUCUGGUGGAGACUCUUCUUCCCAAAUUGCACUAGCUUAUGCCAAAUUGGCAAAAACAACCAGGAGAAAGACACUCUACAGACAUCAACCUUCUGAUGGCUAGAGGGUCUGGAAACUCCAGCUUCCUCAGACUCUGCCUUGCCCUUCUCAAGGCUGACAGGUUCAAGUCCUCAAAUGUGUUACUUGCAGCACACUGACCAAAGGUGCUGAAAGCCCCGGAAUUCACAGCUUACUCAUGGAUUCUAGUCAAUGCCACACAACCUCAAGUUGUAAACUAAUCUUACAGUGAACACAUACACUCACACACACACUUUUUUUUUUUUUAAACAUGGGGUCUUGCUUUGAACUCAAAAUUCUACGGCCUCAGCCUCCUAAGUGUUAGAAUUACAGGCACAUGCCCCUACCACUCCCAUCAGUCAUCCCAUCCACUGAGUUGAUCUAGGACUACUUGGAGCCUGAACUUGAGAGUUUGAACCUACAACUUCAGGCAAGGCAUCCUAGAGCCAAUCCACUUGCUCCCACACAUGGUCAGCCAUCUGACCUGCUGGUUCCUGGACUAUGUGAAGAUGAACCCUGAUGCAACUUAGACCUUUAUCCUACCUCAUCCAUGUGGUGUGGUGACACAGUGCUCCCUGGCCCAACCCCUCCCAACUCCUCCAGUCUCCAUGCAGCUGCUAGCCGGGGACCCUGGAGCCAGUCUUGUGGUGUAAGGACAACAGCCACCCACUUGUACUCCCUGGCACAGGCCCUCCCCACUCUGCAGGCUCUGUGCCAGAUCUCCCUCCAGGCCCAGUCAGGCCCACACAUCCUGUGCUCUGGCUCAGUCUGUGAGUCCACCUGACCCUACCUCUGCCUGAAUCCUCCCCAAUUCACAGAAAACAAAUAAAAUUAUAACUGCUGAAACACAAAAUACAACUAAGAAUACAAACAACAACAAAAACCCCACAAUUAAAUGGCUACAACCACACACCUUUCAAUAAUAACUUUAAAUAUUAAUGGUCUCAACUCUCAAAAGACACAAGCUGACUGAAUGGAUUAAGAAACAAAACUCCAUCCUUCUUUUGUCUACUAGAAAUUCAGCUUUAAAGACAGUCACCACAUUUAAGUGAAAGGAUGUAAAAAAGUAUUUCAAGCAAAUGGGCACAGGAGGCAAGCAGGCAUUGCUAUCCUAAUAUCUGGCAAAACAGACUUUAAACUAAAACUACUAGAAGAGAGAGACACUUUACUCUGACCAAUUAACAACUCUAAACAUGUAUGUGCCAAACUCUGGAGUACUCAAUUUCAUUAAAACAAACAAACAAACAAACAAACCAAAACCUCUUACUAGAAUUAAAGACACCAAUGAUCAACAACCCAGUAAUAGCAGGUGAUUUUCAUACCCCACUGUCUCCAUUAGACAGGACAUCUGGACAAAAGAUAAACAGAAAAACAUCAGAAUUAAAUGACAACAUAUAUCAAAUAUGACCUAACAGCUAGCUACAGAAUACUCCACCCAAACACUAACUAAAACACAUUCUACUCAGCAGCCUACAUCAUGAGACACAAAUCUUAACAAAUUCAGAAGAACUGAAAUAACUGUGUAUCCUAUCUGACCAUAAUGCAAUAAAACUUCACACUGACAACAAAGAAAUCUCUCCAAAGAACAUAAGCUCACAGAGAUUAAACUACUCAUUACUGAAUGAUGAAUGGGUCAAAGAAGAAAUGAAAAUUCCUGGAACUAAGUAACAAUGAAAACACAAUACAACAAAACACUUGGGACACAUAAAAAGCAGCCCUAUGGGGGGAAACUUAUAGCUCUAAGUGCCUACAUUUAAAAAUCAGAAAAAGCACAAAUAAAUUACUUAGUGAUACAAUUCAAGGAUUUGGAAAAACAAGAACAAAUUAAACCCAGUAGAUGACAAGAAAUAAUAAAAAUCUGAGCAGAAAUUAAUGAAACUGAGAUAAGUAACACUAAGAAUCAAUGAAUCUAAGAGCUGGUUCAAAGAUAACUAAAACUGAUAGACCUUUAGAAUUAAAGGUAUGCAUCACAACACCCUACUUUUCAUAUGCAGUAUGAAAAGCUCCUCUAUAUAGUCUCCUCUAUACAGUACUCAAGCAGUCUCUGAUAAACACCUUGUUUAGAAAGAGGUGAACCUAUUGGAAGAUUUUCUUAAGUGAAUGUUCCCUGAGGAACAGAAACAAAUUGUAUACCAAUUUGCAAUGUAGGACAGUAGUAUCCAGCUUUAACUGACUUUGUGUUCUGAGUUGCAGUGGUUUAAAAGCCCAGAAAUAAUUCACAAACUUUAAACUGUACACCAUUUUGAGUACGCCGAUGAAAUCCUGUACCACUGCCAACACAUAUGGAUUAUCUCUGCCCACUGUGUCCAAGCUGUACACGUUAUCUAUAGCCUCUUAGUAGCUGUGCCAGUUAUCAGAUCAGCUCUAGAGAAACCACAGUACACUUCACAGCUCAAACAACCCUAGAGUAGUCUAAUGUCACACCACUCAUCAUGUAGGCAUUGAUCCGCUCUCACAUUGUAACAGUAGAAGAUACAACUUAGUAAGGUAAUAUGAAAGAUGACUUUCAAUCAAGUUUUAUUAUAGUAUAUUGUUAUAAUUUUCUAUUUUAUUAUUUGCUAUUGCUGUUAAUCACUUACCAUGUCUAACUUAUUAAAUUUUAUCGUAAGUGUUAUGGUUUGGACACGGUUUGAAUAUGUGUCCUCGCCCCCCUCAACCCCCCAGCUUCCCAAAAGCUUAUGUGUCAGAAUCUUGGUCCCCAGUAUGAUGUAGACAGAAUUCUAAAGAAGUGAGGCCAGGGGGAAAUUGCCAUGGUUAGUUUUAAUUGUCGUGUCAGUGAGGAAUUGUCUAGAUUUGGCUCCUCAUGGGCAUGUCUGUGGGGGAUUAUCUUGAUUACACUGAUUGACCCAGCCCAUAAGUGAGCAGCAGCACUUCCUGGGUUAGGGAGCUGAUCACAAGCCUGCAGACCUCCAUCCUUCAUCUGCCCUUGACUAAUGCAUGUGAUACAAUCAUCAGCAAAUGACACUAGACGUCCUUAGAAAAACUGGAAACGUGACCUCAGAGAAGACAGCACGACAGCCUCUCUCCGGUUUCUUACUUGGCAACAUGGUUCUUCCUCACAUGUGUAGUUCUCACUAUGAGUUGACACAGUUGAGAGGAACUUCACCACAAGCCAAAUCGAUAGGGAUACUUGGUCUUAAACUUUUUAGCCUCCAAAACUAUGUACUAAAUAAACCUCUUUUUCUUCAUAACUAA